UAAGAAGAUUUUAUGUGUGUGAAUUGUAGAAAUUUGAGGAAAUGGUUUGAAUGAUUGGCAGUAGGGUUGAGUUCACGGGUGCGUAUGCUGUAUAUAAUUGAUGGAAAUGUUAAUCAUACGUCCGAAAGCACAUUUUUUCUUUUGAUUUUUAUAAAAUUUUGUCUCUCUAAUUUUUUUAAUGGUUUAAAAUUUUGUUUUCUUUUUUCGGUCCAUGGGUCCGUAUGAUAAUUAUACCCUCAGCCAUAUGGCUAGUUAUACCCUCAGCCAUAUGGCUCGAGAGAGUAUAUAUCAAUUGAACUAGGUCUCUGUGGACCAAGGUCUCUUUGGACCAAAUCCGACCAAGGUCUCUUUGAACCAAAUGGUUUAAAAUGUUGUUUUCUUUUUUUCGGUCCAUGGGUCCGUAUGAUAAUUAUACCCUCAGCCAUAUGGCUAGUUAUACCCUCAGCCAUAUGGCUCGAGAGAGUAUAUAUCAUUUGACCUAGGUCUCUUUGGACCAAAUCCGUGUCAGGACAUUUGGAGUCGAUCUAGCGAUGUCCGUCCGUCCGCCUGUCUGUCUGGUGCGCACGAUAACUCUCGAAGGGAGUAUCGCAUAAGGUCCAAACUUGGUGCAUCGUAAUAUUUUUGUCAAACUUAGAUAGAGUUCGGUGAUGGGCAACAUCGGUCCACUCCGUUUGGUACCUCCCCCACAAAAGGUCGAAAUUUUCAAAAAAUAUAUUUUCUGCACAGAAAGAGAAAGGGUGAUCCGAUUUUGCUCGAAUAUUGCGAAUCCUAAUAUUUGCAUCAGUGCUAGAUCAAGUGAAAAAAUGAACAAUAGCGGUCCACUCCAUCAAGUACCUCCCCCACAAAGGGUCAAAAUUUUGAAUAAUUAAAACUCUCAUAAAAUGUAAAGUAAGAGCCCGAUUGUCUUCAAAUUUUACACAUCCCAAUAUUUUUAUUAACCCAAGAUCUGGUGUUGAGAUGGGAUAUAUCAGUCUACCCCUUUUAGUACCUCCCCC